UGUACUUUUCAGAAGAGUAGUAAUUAGUCUGUGACUGACAUUAGAAAACACAAUGGAUUUUUGGGUGCAGAUCUUCAGUUUCAUGCUAAUCAGUGUCACAGUGUCCAGGGGAGAAAUUACACUUACCCAGUCUCCAGCAUCUAAGACUGCAUCUGAGGGGGAGGAGGUCACCAUCACUUGUAGUGCCAGCUCAAGUGUAAGCACCAGUUAUUUGCACUGGUACCAACAUAAGCCUAGAGGUUCCCCUAAACUACUAAUUUCUGAAACAUCUAAACUGGCUUCUGGAAUCCCAACUCGCUUCAGAGGCAGUGGGUCCGGGACAUCUUAUUCUCUCACAAUCAGCAGCAUGCAGGCUGACGAUGCUGCCACUUAUUUCUGUCAGCAGUGGAGUAGUAACCAAUGCCCACAGUGA